rnacentral:rRNA from 1 species
GACGUAGGGGGCCAGCGUUGUUCGGAAUUACUGGGUGUAAAGGGUUCGUAGGCGGUGUGGCAAGUCGGGAGUGAAAUCUCUGGGCUCAACCCAGAGUCUGCUUCCGAAACUGCUGUGCUUGAGUGUGGGAGAGGCGCGUGGAAUUGCAGGUGUAGCGGUGAAAUGCGUAGAUAUCUGCAGGAACACCCGUGGCGAAAGCGGCGCGCUGGACCACUACUGACGCUGAGGAACGAAAAGCUAGGGGAACAAACAGG